GUCUGUGCCACGCCGACACAGGAAGUGAUGCAGACUUGGAGGCGGCCCUACGACCCCCUGCUGUGCCACUACCAGGGGCCAAUCGGCUUCGCUUCUCCGCCGGGAGCACAUGCUUCCCCUGGACCAAUCAGAGGCCUUCACAGGAUGUAGUCUGGACCAGAGGCCGACGCUGGGGGACUCCUACAGCCUGGGCUCGUCCAAGUGCCGGGAGUACUACCCGUGCGGGGGGGUCCCGUCGGACCACUACGACCACCCCUCUCCCGGCGUCCUGAUGCAGCUGCCCAGCACCACGCUACACUUUGGGGUACCUCCCCCGUACCCGGGUGGAGAGAACCGUCCAUCGUCCGCGGACGGAGAGAGCGGGACGGAUUACGGCCGGCCCCACGAAAGAGCGACGCCCACCAAUACCUUCAUGGGAACGUUUGGGAAAACUCCUCGGAAGCCGAAAACGGAGCCGGAUCCCGGGUUGGGACCCGGACCCCGACCGGACCCCCGACCCCGAGCAGAACCCUGACGCGUCCCGAAAACACGUACACAUCGCUGGACGCAGACUCGGAACGUGAAGACAGCGUCCGGUCGCGGUCCGACUCGGGUUCGGACGGAAACUCGGGCGUUUACGAACAGCCGUUCGACGCGCCCCGCUUCGUCUUCCCGCCGCCGCCGCCGUCGAGCACGUAGCUCGAAUAGUUGAGACGGAAAGUUCGGGAUCUUUUUUUUUCAUGAAGAGGAUAAAAAAAAAUGAAAAACGAACAAACGUUAAUGUGUACCUUCUACCUCAGUGAAAAGACACUCCUGGAUUCAACGAGACAAGAGACAAAUUUGGGAAAACCAAAAAACCAAAAAAACGCGAAAAAGUGAAUGUAAAGAUCAAUCCGUUCUGACGUGAAACGGGACGGGAGAAAACGCCAUUGACCGAUCCAACGGAAAUCACAGAUUAUAGAUUUUAUAUAGACCCUUUUUUAUACAAAGUUUUAUUAUAUUUUGUAAAUUGAUUGUGUACAAAACAGAUGCCGUUAUUUUGCUUACCUUUUUUGUCCUUUUCUUAUUUUGGUCGUAUUAUUUUGUGUACUUUGGGAAAAGUGUUGUUCCAUGUUCCCUAAGCCUCCCAGGCUUGAGAUCUGCUCCGAGUGAAGCGCUGUUGUUUUUGCACAUACCCGCCAAAACAUAAUAAAAGGAAAAAUAAAAUAAACUCCUCUAAUUCUGCUGUUUAAAAAAACGUACCGGAGGAGCCACCCUGGCCUGUUCUUCAAUGUACCCCGCUGAGUGUGUCUCUGUGGAGGUUUAGAGGACACACAGGGCUUAGGGUUUGGCCCUGGCUGAGACGAGGUGAUGAGGAGCUGAGGGCGAUGAUGAAGGUGGUGGAGGAGGGGGUGGUGGAUGAGGAGGAGACGGUGGUGGAGGAGGAGGAUGAGAAGUUGUGGUAGA
rnacentral:lncRNA from 1 species